AAUCCAUAGGUUAAUGAGGCGAACCGGGGGAACUGAAACAUCUAAGUACCCCGAGGAAAAGAAAUCAACCGAGAUUCCCCCAGUAGCGGCGAGCGAACGGGGAGGAGCCCAGAGCCUGAAUCAGCAUGUGUGUUAGUGGAAGCGUCUGGAAAGGCGCGCGAUACAGGGUGACAGCCCCGUACACAAAAGCGCAUGUGCUGUGAGCUCGAUGAGUAGGGCGGGACACGUGGUAUCCUGUCUGAAUAUGGGGGGACCAUCCUCCAAGGCUAAAUACUCCUGACUGACCGAUAGUGAACCAGUACCGUGAGGGAAAGGCGAAAAGAACCCCGGCGAGGGGAGUGAAAAAGAACCUGAAACCGUGUACGUACAAGCAGUGGGAGCACCCUUUGGGUGUGACUGCGUACCUUUUGUAUAAUGGGUCAGCGACUUAUAUUCUGUAGCAAGGUUAACCGAAUAGGGGAGCCGGAGGGAAACCGAGUCUUAACCGGGCGUUAAGUUGCAGGGUAUAGACCCGAAACCCGGUGAUCUAGCCAUGGGCAGGUUGAAGGUUGGGUAACACUAACUGGAGGACCGAACCGACUAAUGUUGAAAAAUUAGCGGAUGACCUGUGGCUGGGGGUGAAAGGCCAAUCAAACCGGGAGAUAGCUGGUUCUCCCCGAAAGCUAUUUAGGUAGCGCCUCGUGAAUUCAUCUCCGGGGGUAGAGCACUGUUUCGGCUAGGGGGCCAUCCCGGCUUACCAACCCGAUGCAAACUGCGAAUACCGGAGAAUGUUAUCACGGGAGACACACGGCGGGUGCUAACGUCCGUCGUGAAGAGGGAAACAACCCAGACCGCCAGCUAAGGUCCCAAAGUCAUGGUUAAGUGGGAAACGAUGUGGGAAGGCCCAGACAGCCAGGAUGUUGGCUUAGAAGCAGCCAUCAUUUAAAGAAAGCGUAAUAGCUCACUGGUCGAGUCGGCCUGCGCGGAAGA
rnacentral:rRNA from 1 species